AGGUAGCAACAAUCAGAGACAAUACAGACCGCAGAUGCUUCAAACCAGAGUCUACAGGUGGGAGGCUGGAAAAGCACAGCAGGUCAGAGGAGCUAGGAACAAGUCUCGUGAAUACCCACUGCACUCCUUUGAUGGUGAGAUUUGUCGCAGAAUUGGACAUGGAUUUAGGCAAGACCCAUCUCGGCAUCAAUCAUCUCUCUCCAUCUUAUGCUUUUGAGAGGCAGCCUGAUUCUCCUGGGAUAGAGGAACUCCUGCAUAGAUGCCCUGGAGCUGAGAUGACUGACCUCCUACCACUGUAGCCAUCUUCCACUGUGCCAGGACCCUUCAACAGCAACUUCCAAACCCCAAGCUCUAGCAUCAAGAAGGACAAAGACAGCUGAUGCAUUGAAACCAACUUGUGAGGCCCCCUCCAAGCCACACCUCAUCCUGGCUUGAAACAAUAUCACUGUUCCAUUAGCAUCUCUGUGUCAAAAUCCUGACAUUCGUUAUUGAAUAUCACUGUGGGUGUCUCCAGGACAACUACGGAUGAACAGAACAUACUGCCCUGACAGUAUUAACCAAAGCAAUGAAUGAAUAAAUAAAUAAUCCCAUUGAGAUUUACAACAAAGUGGAAAAGAAAGCUCAAAGAUCUUCAGGAAAUUAGCAGCGAUAAAGGUUGAAAAGGAACUAUACAAUGUAAAUCAGAUGAAAUCAGUGUAAAUCAGAUGAAAUCAGUGUAAAUCAGAUGUCGGGCACAGAAAUAUUCUCUUAAAUAAAACCCUGCAAUAUGACUGUAACUAGAAAGAAAGAGACUUCAGAGACUCCUAUAAUUAAAUAGUGCUUUCAUUAUAAAAUAUAUUCAUGUGUUUUACAGGUGAGCAUAUAGAAAUGGACAGUAGCAUAGGACAUUGAAGCACUUAAGCACAAAUAGAUUAAACAGAUGCACGACAUAAAAUAACAGCUAUCAUUUUUCAUAUAGUUUGCCAUCUAUCAUUCUUUUAUUGCACCAAAAAUAAUGGUGUAGUCCAAACUGUAAAUGCAAUAAAAUAUAUCCCAAAUGUGAAGCUAAAAUAAAUAGUUGUUCGCUGCUUUUGAAUAUGUGAUUGCCAAUUCAAUACUGUGCAGAUGGAAUUGGAACUGAAUACAUAGAGAGACAGAGAGUGGAAAAUAGACUGAUACGUGAACAAAGUUUACAGCAGAACGGGAAACUAGUUAAGAGUUUGGAGCAUGUUGAAGUAUACAUAGAGUGGAGAUCGACAAGGAAAGAAAUGUAGCAUUUAGUGUGAUAGUUGUAGAGAUGUACAGCAUGGAAACAGACCCUUCGGUCCAACUCGCUCAUUUACCAGCAUUUGGCCUAUAUCCCUCUCAACCCUUCGUAUUCAUGUACCCAUCUAGGUGUCUUUUUAAUGUUGUAAUUCUACCUGUGUCCACCACUUCCUCUGGCCAUUCAUUCCAUAUAUACAACGCUGUCUGAAUUGAAAAAAUUGCACCUUAAGCUCCCUUUUAACUCUUUACCCCCUCACCUUAAAACUAUGCCCUCGAGCUUUUGACUCCCUUAUCCUCAGAAUAGGCCUUGGCUACUUACCCUAUCCAUGCUCCUCAUGAUUUGAUAAACCUGCAUAAGGUCAUCCCUCAGCCUCCAAUGCUCCAAGGGAAAUAGCCCCAGUCUUUUCAGCCUCUCCCUGUAGCUCAAAUCUUCAACCCUGGCAACAUCCUUGUAAAUCUUUUCGAAACCCUUUCAAGUAAAUUUAAUUCUGCCUGAAUCUUUGGUCUGAUUGCAUAAGGCAUCGAUCUAGCCUUGCAACAUUUUGCUUGAUUUUCAUCUUUGAUUUCCAAUUCAACAGAGAUCUUUUCCAUGUUUCUCAGAUCCCCAUAAAAAUAAUGGCAUGCUUCUUUUGAAUUUGUAUUAAGUCUCAGAAUCUGACAAGCAAUUUACUUGAACCCAGUUGAGUUUGAUUUUUUUUCUAGUAUGUUCCUCCCGACAAAACUAGCAGAUUAUUAAUGCCCUCUUUAUACCAUGUAGAUUGUCUUGCUAAUCUUUAGUUUCAGAACUUUUACUGUAUGCUAUUCAUAUUUCUUUCUCAAACACUCUCAUUCAAUUGGCCCUUUUUUGCUGCAGUUUCUGCGUACAUCUAUGUUUUACCAACAAUUUGCUGCUGUGUGAGGUGUUUUUCCAUACCAGUGGCAGUUUUGAGUCAGGGUUGGUGCUCAUCUCUCAGCUGCCACUAUUCCUCCUACUUCUUCAUAAGCUUUGGAACCCGACAUCUCUGGCUGUACCAGACUCCUCAGGAGGACAAGAGCAUUCCUUCCCUACCAACCCCCACCCCUGCCCCGCCACACCCCCAACACAAAGUACCAAGA